GAGCCUCUCUCCGAGACAG
rnacentral:snRNA from 1 species